rnacentral:rRNA from 1 species
GAGACUCUGUGCGCGUGCAUAUCAAUAAGCGGAGGAAAAGAAACUAACAAGGAUUCCCUUAGUAACGGCGAGUGAAGCGGGAAGAGCUCAAAUUUGAAAUCUUAAAGGUUUUCCCUUGACGAAUUGUAGUUUAAGGAAGUGUUUUCUGUUGAAGUUUUCGGUAAAAGUUCUUUGGAAUAGGACAUCAUAGAGGGUGAGAAUCCCGUAUUUGACCAGUUACUUUCCAGCUGUGUGAUACACUUUCAAAGAGUCGGAUUGUUUGGGAAUGCAGUCCAAAAUGGGUGGUAAAUUUCAUCUAAAGCUAAAUAUUGGCGAGAGACCGAUAGCGAACAAGUACCGUGAGGGAAAGAUGAAAAGAACUUUGAAAAGAGAGUUAAACAGUACGUGAAAUUGUCAAAAGGGAAGCGUUUGACACCAGUGUUGUUUUUCCGAAAAUCAAUUACGAAUGUUUUGUUCUUGAGGAGUUAUGACUUCAUCGGCUUGCUCCUUUCUUACGAAACUUUCUUAAUGCACUUUUCGGUUAACAAGUCAACAUCAAUUUCUUUUGUUGUAAAAGGGUAUGAGGAAGGUGGCUUUCUUUUCGGAGAAAGUGUUUAUAGCCUUGUGCCUCUGCAAUCGGAGAGAUUGAGGUCUGCAGCGUAGUUCCUUCGGGGUUAGAUACAUUUGUGCUAAGUUAUAGCUUUUCAUAGACAACUUGUUGACUAUGUUUAGUCUUGUAGCUUACUCGCUUAUGCUAUUUUACCUACGCUUAGGAUGUUGACAGCAGUAUAGACUGU